rnacentral:rRNA from 1 species
AGGAUAAACGCUGGCGGCGUGCCUAACACAUGCAAGUCGAACGUCUCUUCUUUCGGGAAGAGGAGUGGCGGACGGGUGAGGAACACGUGGGAACCUGCCCUUUAGUGAGGAAUACCGGCGAGAAAUCGCCGACAAGACCGCAUAGCCCUCUUUGAUGAGAGUCAAAGAAGGAAAGCUUCGCAAGAGGCGCUAGAGGAGGGGCCUGCGUCCGAUUAGCUAGUUGGUGGGGUAAGAGCCUACCAAGGCGUCGAUCGGUAGCUGGUCUGAGAGGACGAUCAGCCACACUGGGAUUGAGAACGGCCCAGACUCCUACGGGGGGCAGCAGUGAGGAAUUUUCGGCAAUGGGGGAAACCCUGACCGAGCAACGCCGCGUGCAGGAAGACGGCCUUCGGGUUGUAAACUGCUUUUCUUUGGGACGAGAACGGACGGUACCCGAGGAAUCAGCCCGGCUAACUACGUGCCAGCAGCCGC